rnacentral:rRNA from 1 species
GCAGCCGCCACGGUAAUACGGAGGGUGCAAGCGUUAAUCGGAAUUACUGGGCGUAAAGGGCGCGUAGGCGGCGCUCCAAGUUAGGCGUGAAAUUCCCGGGCUCAACCUGGGGACUGCGCUUAAGACUGGAGUGCUUGAGGAUGGAAGAGGGUUGUGGAAUUCCCAGUGUAGAGGUGAAAUUCGUAGAUAUUGGGAAGAACACCGGUGGCGAAGGCGGCAACCUGGUCCAUUACUGACGCUGAGGCGCGAUAGCGUGGGGAGCAAACAGGAUUAGAUACCCGCGUAGUCCCUGUCUCUUAUAC